UACGUAGGGGGCAAGCGUUGUCCGGAAUCAUUGGGCGUAAAGCGCGUGUAGGCGGCUCGGUAAGUCCGCUCUGAAAGUCCAGGGCUCAACCCUGGGAUGCGGGUGGAUACUGCCGGGCUCGAGUCCGGAAGAGGCGAGUGGAAUUCCCGGUGUAGCGGUGAAAUGCGCAGAGUAUCGGGAGGAACACCAAUGGCGAAGGCAGCUCGCUGGGCGUGACUGACGCUGAG
rnacentral:rRNA from 1 species